GCGGUUUACAGACAAAUUUUAACAUAGCCUAUGUUCACUCAAUUAUGUGGACUUGCGCCCCGCAACGUCUGGAAAUGGCCACCAGAUGGCGAGAUGAAUUCACCCUUCAUAGGAAAAGCAGCAGCGGCCUGGAGUGUCACCCCUGCUCCCGCUUUGACAUCUUAAAUGAAGAGCAUGAUUUUAAUAUUUAUAUCCUGACUGGUUUACUCAUAUUGCUUUCUUUCCGUUCCCGCUCCCGUUGUUCUCAUAUUUCACCAGCUAUCAAGCCGCGCUUAUGCGCAAGUCGACAUCACUUCCCCUGGGCGGCGUCAGGGUGCUGUUUGGUAGCCCAGGGCGGUAAUCAGUGCCCCGCGAAGCCGCUCCGCAAGGGCGAGGCACACACGACUCCACCCAGCUCCCGCUGUCGCCUCUGCGCUUAGUCUCACCAAAACUAUUGUUUUUUUAAUUUGGUGGGGUUUUUUUUCGGUUUUUGUUUUGCACAAGUCGCAGAUUUCUGCUUUGUACACUUUUCAUAAUUCAUGAAAAUAGAGGGAUUGAAACGCUAUGUUUGUUAUUUACUUAAUGAAGAGUUCUUCGUUAUGUUGUGGUUAUAUUUAGUCAUGUGACUUCCGCAGUUCCGGUAGAUAAGCUAUAUAAACAGAUUUUUAUUUUAAAAAAAAAAUCUGCUUCAGGAAGAAAAUAUGACUAAAAAGGACUUAUUUUCAAGUAUAUGAAUAAUGCUUAUUUCACUUCACACCUUUCUGCUCAUAGAUCAUGACUGAAAGCUAUUUCCAUGGAAGCAGUCUUUGUUCCCGAUGCACGAUUAAAACAGCCUGACCAGAUCAGUUCCGUGAAUAGCUACAGUCUUCCCAGGAGGGGCCGGCAGGAGCAGCCCUAUAACUCAAAUUUCUCAAUUAAUCCCAGGCCUGUCCGUUCUCCUCCAGCGGCUCCCCGGCAGAGCCCACGGUGCGGAGCUCAGCAGAUGUUUAUUGCGGUACUGGAGCCUGUCACAGGCACUUAGGGCGAUUUCUUGAUCUGCCCCUGCACGGUGGAGCUGCGGGCACGGCACGCCGAGCCGCACUUCACUAAACGUUUUGCCGCUCUGCGAAUCUGAGUCUGCGGUUUAAGGGGUGCAGCGAAGCCUGUGCACUUUGCUGUCAGCGGCCGUCUCCCUGGAGUCGUCACCGCGCCGCUGAGCAGCCUGCCGGUGGUGCCAAAGCCAGCCGGAUCCUGUUCCAGCCAACGAGUCGGCCCCCGUAUCGAUCCGGCCGUGCUGUUAGCCGCUUGCAGUCCUGCCUGCUUUCCUUGUCUCGCUCUGCAGACCCCAGCAUCGGUAAUUGCUCUCCUCUAUAUCCUCCCUCAAUAUAUUUACUAUCGCUCCCACUCUCGACUUACUAUAACAUCCACUCACUGAACAUCUCUGAUUUGCUCCGUAUCCGGACCUAAUAGGCUUAUGUUCCUGAGCUGGGAGAGGCGAGUUGGAUUAAGAAAUCCCUGUCUUGGUUAGUGCUCUUCCCCCCACCACCCACCCCACUGCCGUACGCACCCACCCAUGGACACCCACGCUGCCCUUGUUGUAUUUGUGGACCGCGGGAGGAAGAUAACCCACGUAAACACAGGGAUAAGCGAAGUCUGCCAUCCCAAAAUCUGCACCAACAGGGUGACUAAGCUCCACUUCGGCUUAUAUCCUUAAUAAAAGAACAUUCUCACACGUUCAUUCUUUUAAUCCACCUUUAAUUUGAUUUCUUUUAUCGGUUUUAAUUGGUUUAAUUAGUUUUGCUUUGUCAGUUUUCCCCUUCAUAAGAUUAACAUCAAGUCCUUGAAGAUUGGCCACAUAAGGUGAUCCUGAGUUCCCAUGCCUGACCAUCACCAUAAUUUCAGAUGAGUAACGGGCAUGCAGGCCAGUUUUCGGAGGUCAGGAUGCUCCUGCCUUUUUAGCCCCAUCUGAUGCCCAGAAGCGUCCUAUCUAUACGAACUCUCAGUUUAAAGGAAUGCGUUUCGUAGGUGGGCUGACCCACCUUCUGUUUACUAAAACAGAGACUCACAGAGACAGUGAAAUCAGUCCAGGUUACAGUCUGAAAUCAGGAGAGACGUAUUAUUACACUGAGACAGGGACAACUAGACUGGGGCUGGUUCAGCUUUUCGAAACGGAUUAAUUUAGAUUUAAUAAAGCAUGACUUUCCAUGACUUAUCUCUGUUUUGUUUUGUUGUUUUUUUUUUCAUUUUCAAACGCUACUUAAAAAAAGUUUUAAGCAGCGAAACAGCCUUGAGAGGGAAAAGUACACAAAUACUGUACAUAGAGCCUGUUAGGAAACAUAACCAGCAGUGUAAAGGAAUCAUAUCAUCGCAAAAUUUAAGUCCACCGCAUAUUAUAGGUCAAUAAAUGAUGAAUACAUGAAACAUGCCGUGUUACUUUGUGGGCAUCAAAUGUCUCCACAAUUUGAUAAAAACCUGUUAUUUGCAUGUUUAAGGGACCACCUUUUUGGGCCCCACAAUAGAAACUGAAUUUUAUAAAAAAUCUGUGACUGCAGUCAAAAACUAAAAGACUUGUAUUUAGUUUGGUUACUUAUGGUUAAGGUUAAGUCUGGGUAGGGGUUAAGGUCGUCAAGUUGGGAUUAGAGUUUUCCCUAUAGAAAUGAAUGGAGAGUCCCCACAAAGAUAUAAUUACAAACCUCUGUGUGUGUGUGUGUGUGUGUGUGUGUGCGUGCGUGCGUGCGUGUGUGUGUGUGUGUGUGUGUAUACCCUGCUUUUCACUGUCUUCCCUUCCAGGUCUCUCCUGGGAUCUUCUGCCUUAUGUUCCUGAGAUAAGCUCCAGGCUCCUGUGACCCUGUGCUGGCAUAGUGGUUGGAAGAACAAAUAUAAUAGGUUAUAUAUAGUAUUUAUAUAUGAAUCAUAAAUAUUUCAUAGUCAUGCAUACGCACAUGAUGCACAAAUCUAUAUAUUUUUUAAAUUUUAUAUAUCAUGCACAAAUCGAGAAGACGUGUACAUGUAUGUUUUGUAUGUGCCUCGUGUUAUUCUGUCCCUGCGUGGGCACUCACAUAUAUGUACAGUGUUUCUGAUGAUGAAUUUACAUGCCCUCUUACACGGUGGGGUGUAGUUUGCGUCUGUGUGAAAGUAAAUGAGUGCCAUGAUUUCUUAACACUUGGCAACGGCUUUCCCAACAGAGAAGGCAGAUCACAGGGCAGUUAGGCCUGAAAUGCUUCACUCUCUUGCUUCGUAACUCAGAGAUGUAUUAGUAUGACAGCACAACAGAGAGAAGGCAAGGCCUGUUCCAGGGUGGUUCUGGGCUAAUGUACACCGCAUGCUUCAAAAUCGCAACACCACGGCCGUCUUUGCCAAAGGCCUGUCUCUGGAAGCGGCUUUGGCGCAUUUCAGAUUGUGAUUCAGCGAAAAGCCUGCAGAUGCCAGCUUUAAAAAGCAUGCAAAUCAGGGCUGGUGGUGGCCCAAGAUGUGCAUUUCAUCCUGUUAGAGCAGUUUAUAGUGGGGGGGGGGGGGUGAACAGGUUGUUUUUAUGAGCUGAGCAAUUAUUUCACUGUGUGGGAAUGAAUAUACUGGACAUUCCGGUGGAGAGGAAGUGUUGUUCAUUAAAAAGUAGCAUGCGUUAUUUCGAA